GCUACAAGAAUUUGUGACGUGUUUUAUUUUACAUUACAUAGUACGCCAUCAAUUAGUCAACCACUUAAUACUGUAAUGAGAAAAAAAUAACUAAUUUUUUAAUUUAAACUUUAUUACUUGACAUAGGUAUUUUAUUAUAAUAAGUGUAUUUCUCAUACAUUACGUAUAAAAUCAAUUAAUCAGAAUGAAUUAUAACAUCUUUGUAUUUAUCUUGGCAGUGAACGUAUCGAGUCAACAGAAAAAGUAUGAUAAAGGGUAUGCAAUUAACUUUUUAAAUUCAUUUUUACAAAAAACCAGGUGGGAAUUUUUAUCAGAUUCAGGUAUGCAUGACCAUAUAAGCAAGUGUUGGAUUACGACGAAUGAACUACUAAUACAUAAAUAUAAUUAUAGUAAAGAUCCGAUCGUCGAUAAAAAUAAUGUUAAUCAAAAGUUAAGAGAAACAAUGGUACUUAUUAAUCAUGAGUACAUAAGAAGUUUAGAUUGAAUCAUUUAUCACGUACAACGUAUUAUUAGUGCUUGUUUUUCGAAAAAUUAUAUUAAGACUUCAGUAGAUUACCCGUAUUGUAUUAGUUUAUUAUUACCAAGUAUUGAGAUUUGCACAAAUCUCAUUUCACGUUUUAUUAGUGCAAUACAUUUUCUAAUGAAUUUGUUAAAUAUUAAAACCAAUCCAUUUGCUUUAGAUGAAUUAAUAAAAUUUGUUAGAUUGAUAAGCAGAGAAAUAAAUGAAAAUGACGAUGCAUAUGUGAUUCGAAUGCAGUAUAACUUCCAUGACGAGUACGAUACGAGUAAUUGUAAUUUUAUCGAAAUAUUUCAAAAUUAUUGCAUUGGUCAAAGAUAUGGUGAUACAAAUCGUGAUAAUGACGAUUUUAAUAGGUAUAUAAAGAAAAAUAAUUUAACUAAAACGUUUCAAAUGUAUGAAUUUAUGGAAGUUUACUUAAGAAAUGGUAUCGAAGAUACGGAAAAAAAAUUGUACUUUAAUCUGGGCUUUUUUUAUGAUGAAGUAAAAAAUGAAACUUCUUAUGUUCAUGGAUGCGAAAUUCAAAAGAAAAAAAAAAAAAUAUUAUGGUUUAAUUGUUAAAUUGUUAGCGACUUAGCUCAAAUAAACGAUUUUUAACACAUGUAAAAUUAAAAAAUUUAAAUAUAUCCAUAAAUUUGAAUUAAUAACUGUAUCAACAUUUUUAUCAGGAUUAGCAAUAAACACGUAUAAAAUGUUUUUCGUUACAUGUAAUAAACAUUACGUAUAAUAAUUUUAAGACUUUCAUUCUCCUUUUAUAGUGCUGGGACAAAAAAAACCCUCGUCAAAAAUCAAAAAAUUUCAAUGAAAAUUUCAAGAUUUUUUUGGAUUAUCUCUAGACAGAUUCGUGGUUUACAUGAUUAAAUUUACAAUUAUUUACUGUUGUUGAUGUUACUUUCCAAACCUUUUCACUGACUUUGUUAAAUUUUGUAUCAUUAUGAUAUGAUACAGUUGAGUACACGGCUAUUUAGUGUCUUUGUUUUGCCCGUCCCAUCGAUAUGUGUCUGACCAUUGUAAAGCAAGUGGACGAGUUUCACGCGACUUGUUAAACGAGUCAUUAUUCAUACGAAAUUAAACGCUCGCUCGAAUAUCGUUGAUAACAAAGUGACGGUAUAGUAUCAUUUUUUUUUCGUUUUUGUGUUCUUUUGAACUAUUGCAAAUAGGUGUAUAUACACUCAUAGUAUCACACAUGGGUUCUUUACAUAAUAUGAAGCGAUACUCAAAAUACACUACUUUUUAGACUAGACUAACCUUCGUUUCCUGUCGUUCUGCUUCUGCCAUUUGCAAGACACACAAUCUUGUUGCGAACCAGGUCGCUGCCAUCUGUGGAUAAACAGCUAACCUAUAUUGUAUUAUUGUAAAUUAUUAUGAAUUAAUCUGUUGAUGUAUAUUCCCAUUUUAGUUAACUUGUAUUAACAUUAGUUUAAGAAUAUUUUAUGUUUUGUAUAAUAUGUUUACAUAGAAAUAUUAACGAAUAACUCUAAACAUCUCUCACAAUUUUCUUUAUUAUAUAUAUAUAUCUACUCAUAACACUUAAGUAGUGUUCUCCUUUUAAACACUCAAACAGAUACUUUGAUUUAAAAUAUGUUAUUUAA